CAGGGGGGCGGGGGGUGUGCGGGUGUCUCUGCAGCACACCCCUUCUUAGCUGCAUACGAGAGGUUGUUACGAGAGGGAAAAUAGCACUAAAUAUGUCAGGGUGACUGACAGAGCUGGGAACAUGUUUUUCCUCUAGAACUCCUGUGUUCUCACAAAGCAGAGCAGGACGAAUUUUGACAUCAGCUGUUGCUCUGUGGGUCUACCCUUCUGUUUUCAGCCCCUUCCUUCUCCCACUCCUCUAUCUAACUCCUUUCUCUCUCACACCUGAGUCUCAUCCGCACCCCAGCACCAGCUCUACCACAUACUAAAGAGGCUGCCAGCCUCUCUGGCCAUCAGUGGUGUUGUCCUCAGCUCCAUGAGUGACCCUCCAAAAGCUCAGGCAUCUGAGGGAAUCCUCCCAGCCGCCCCGGGUACCGAAUGCCUGUAUCUAGGCUGCAGCUGGGCCCGGGAUGAGGGAGAGUCUCUGGAGGAAGGUCGGUCACAGAAUCAGGACCACCAUGGCCUUCGUGAUGCGUGUGUCUGAGCCCCCUCCUCCCUGGAAAACUGUAGCUUCCACCUUGAUUCCACAUACGUGGCUCUGAAGGGUGGCAGGUUUUUGUAGUGGAGUCAGCCAUGGUGGAACUUUGGGAAUGUGCUGCAUUUGGGGUCUGGCACUCAAGUGAUCGUUAUGCCUCGUAAGUAUAAGCAUCUCUUCUCAUUUCUGUAGGUUAGUAUGUCAAUCAAAUAAAGGAGUUAUCCCCCCACCCCCAUUUCCCAGCUAGUCUCUGAUGGGAUACGAUUUCUGGAUCUAGCCACACUGCUGGAUUAAGGCGAUCAAAUUCAUUUUCAGAUAUAACUUCAACUGAUUUCCGUUAAUGCUGUCAACAGCAAAGGGAAAUUAGAACGUGGUGGGAACCUAAUCUAUGCUCAUCACUGCUGUGGGAGGGCAAUCAUUUCUUCUUAUCCCCCGGCAGUCAGACUUAGAAUUCAGCAGACCUUUUCCAGGCCUGUCUUCUCUGGCAGAUUAAGUGACUGUGUCCAUUAACUUUCUUGAGGGAAAACAUACAAGAUAGAUACAUUCCCCUUCAGCUUUUCCUCAGAAAGCUUUUUGUUCGUUUUUUAGGCAGUACACUUUAGCUAACAUAUUCCCUCCUAUUCGUGUUAAUAAUAUCUUGGCUUAAACAAGCAAUUUCCCCCCACAUUAUUCAAAAUGCAUUGCUGCGUGUAACCCACUGCCCUCUCACCAGCCCUUUUGCCUUCACAACAUUCUCUGAGAAAGUAAACAGGAUCACACAUCAUCACACAUAAUUUCACAGAGAGAGAAGCUGAAGCGCAGACAAGUUAAAUAAUUUAAGUCAAACCCAAAAAGUCAGAACUGGGAUUACAGCCUGAGAUUCUUUGUUUUCUUACGGUGAAUUAUCUUGAGCUGUCAUCUCUGUGAAUUGAAAACAUAAUAAGCACAGGCCGUAGGAAUUCGCCGGGGAUGGAACUUAACCAAAACAAAAACUGAUUGUUUGAUGAUUGCAUGGGUGUUUGAAAUGUAUGCCCAGAUCUUCUUUGCCACUGGUGAUUAUUUGGUGUCAGAGAUAGGGAGAAAGCAGAGGGGCCAGAUGAGGGCAGAGCACCUUGCUAAGCUCAGGGGUUUUUGUAGGCCUUGGUAUCACUGUGUCUCCAACAGGGACAAACUCAUCUUUGGGGCUGGAACCAGAUUACAAGUUUUUCCAAGUAAGUCGUAGAAACCAAGCAGAGAUUUUGCAAAAAUGUUUUGUAUAAACAGUCAACUGGCUUUGGUUCAUCCUCACGGUACUGUGGGCCACCCUUCCCAACACUGUGCUCUGUAGGGCUUUCCCCACUUCUGGCUGUCUGCUCCUCACUCCCCCGGGAUACCAUUUCUCACAGAGAAAGGGUUCUGUAAACCAAAUCAGCUCAAUCUGUGUGUGAAUACCAUGGUACUGACUAGAAUCUUAUCAGCAGUGAAAACAAGACAGUAGAAAAUCAGAUGCAUCAUGACUCCAGACAAAUGAUCUGUUUUUCUCGUUUGCAUUUUUAUUUAAAGUAUCGGGGAAGGUGAAGCAAGUUCAGCUUCUCCCAUUUAAAAACUGUUUAUGAAUUACUCUUCCCUUGUGUGCAGAGAGAUCGAGAUUGACUUUAGAUGUUGAGUCAUUUGAUUUCAUCAUAUGUGUCUGGAAUCUAUAAUGGGCAAAGGAAUCAAAUGUAAUUAAAUGAGCAAAUAAUCUUCAAUAGUCAAUAUUCCUACAUUGCUUUAUGUGCUUGGCUCUGGACUUUUAUCUGGGACUUAUCUCUAAUAGGCUCCCCAGAAGGACAGUGAAGGUUUUUGUUAAGGUUUUUGUCUCUGUGUGGAUGGCAACUAUCAGUGGAUCUGGGGCUCUGGGACCAAACUAAUUAUAAAGCCAGGUAAGUCUCAGAGAUGUGACUGUAAGGGAGAAGAGACAUGUUGAAUAAUACACGAGGCAUAGCAUGCAAAUUACAUUUUUAAGAACAAUCCAACCUGCUGGAGAAAAGGCACUCGACCCAAAAGGGGUUUUCACUCCCAGCGAGAAGCAGUGUCAGCCACCAACUCUCUUGUUUGAUCUGCUAGCUUCCAGAGUGAACAGUGCUUAACUCGCCCUCCAAGAGAGCAGAGUUGGGUUGUUACAAAGGUUGAUUCCCUCUAAGAUGGUUGGAAUGCUUUCCCAAGGAUAUAACCAGUCUCACUUUGUCAAAAGAGAAGGCCAGAGAAAAGGCCAAGAGCCACAGUCAAAGGCCAAGAGAUGAAAGCCGUGUUUGCCACUUCCCCAACAUCCUUGUCUCUGGCUGCUAUCUUGCAUGGGGAAGCAGAUGCUUGCAAAGCUUCUGGCCAUUUGCUGGAGAACCCCCUGAGGUUCUGGACCUCAGCACAAGCCCCACAAGGAUGUAGUGUAAAAGGUCAUGUCAGGGCACCUGAAGGGUGUAAGGAGCCUAAAGGGACACCUGGCAAGUCAGUUCUCAAAGCAGUGGGACUCAGGAGUUCUUAGCCUGGGAAGACUAAGCCCAUUCGCCUCCAUCCUGCCAUGCCCCUUCCUGUGGGUUGUUGUAAGGCACUGAAAGGCUGUGUGAAUUAUGGGGGUGCUGCCAACCAGCUCAUCUUUGGGACUGGCACGCUGCUUUCUGUCAAGCCAAGGCCUUACUGUUAACCAUGCCACCACACUGCUACCACUGUCCGUCCUGCAUUCUGUGAAGGAAGAUCACAGACCUCAAAGGCUACUGGUCUGGUCCCUGGUUUGCCCAACCCAAGCCUUGUUGCCAUGGCAACCAUGGCAGCCUUGGUCCAGGACUCAUCAUUUCUGAAGAGAUGAGUAGAGUCAUUGAACCUGGUUGGCAGAACUCAGGUAUGGCAGGGAGAGGAGUAGAAACCUAAGGGGACUGGUUAUUGGGCAUAAAGUAACACCGAAAGAAAUUUAUCAUCAAAACCUUGAAACAGGCUGUUUAAAAGCUCUGUUCCCAAGAGUGAAGGCUGUAAAUAUGGGGGAAGGAGGGGGUGAGGGCAGCCACCCUCAGAGAGCAGUAUUUGUACUGCAUUGUGGCAGGGUGUGAACACAGGCAGCAGAACACUCACUUUUGGGAGUGGAACAAGACUCCGAGUGCAUCCAAAAGUCAAGGACCCCAACCCCACUGUGUACCAGCUGAGAAGCCCCCAAUCCAGUGACACUUCUGUCUGCCUAUUCACCGAUUUUGAUUCAAAUCAAGUCAACAUGGAAAAAAUCAUGGGGUCCGAGGGGAGCACGGUGCACAAAACAAACAGCACCGUGCUCAACAUGGAGAUCCUGGGAUCCAAGAGCAACGGGAUAGUGACUUGGGGAAACACCAGCGAUGCUGGAUGCGAAUACACCUUCAACGAGACCAUUCCCUUCGCCUCCAGCUUGGAAAUCUCCUGUAAUGCCAAGCUGGUAGAGAAAAGCUUUGAAACAGAUAUAAACCUAAACUCCCAAAACCUGUCAGUGAUAGUGUUCCGCAUCCUCCUCCUGAAGGUGGUCGGGUUUAAUCUGCUCAUGACGCUGCGGCUCUGGUCCAGUUGAGGUCACCGACAACCUGAGAGCCCCGUGCUCCCUCGCCCCUUGCUCCUCGUCGCCCUUCCUCUCCCUCUUCAAGCAGAGAGGCGCACUCUCUGCCCCCAUGGAUGAGAAGGCUCCCUCCUCCUCUCUGGCCUGGCUGGCCAUAACACCAACUGGAUCCUCCAGAUACUGGUGAUCAAGAUGCUGACAAGCUGCCCAGCACGGCUGCCACCCACUCUCUUCCUCACUGCUGCUUGUCACUGCCUGGCAUUCUUGGCAAAGUCGGGGGGCUGCUGCAGCCUCUCCUGGCUGUGGGGACACUCCCUCCCCACCCCCACCCCCCAGAGACUGCCUCUGAUGUCCCACUGGAUGGUGGAUCCCCAGUGGGUUCUCCUGGGCUCUAGCUCCUGGAGAAUGUUGUGUGUUGUUUAUAUUUUUUUACAUAGUGUUCAUAAAAAAAUAUAUAUCACCCUUUUCCCCAACAUGUGGGGAAAAAUUAUCUUUUCACGAUCUAGGCCCUGCUCUUCUGUGUAUCCGAGCCACAUUGUAUAUUCUGCUGCCACGGCUUCAAUAAAAGCGAUUUGGAAGAGAC
ensembl:lncRNA